rnacentral:rRNA from 1 species
GUGUCAGCCGCCGCGGUAAUACGGAAGGUCCGGGCGUUAUCCGGAUUUAUUGGGUUUAAAGGGAGCGCAGGCCGUCGGUUAAGCGUGUUGUGAAAUGUAGGCGCCCAACGCCUGCACUGCAGCGCGAACUGGCUGACUUGAGUACGCACGACGUUGGCGGAAUUUGCCGUGUAGCGGUGAAAUGCUUAGAUAUGGCGAAGAACUCCGAUUGCGAAGGCAGCUGACGGGAGCGCAACUGACGCUCAUGCUCGAAAGUGCGGGUAUCGAACAGGAUUAGAUACCCUGGUAGUCCGCACGGUAAACGAUGGAUGCCCGCUAUUUGCCCAUUAGGGUAAGUGGCCAAGUGAAAACGUUAAGCAUCCCACCUGGGGAGUACGCCGGCAACGGUGAA